AUACACUUGUGGAGAUGAUCAUUCUCAUGCCUGCCCAUGGUUGCAAUGAUCGUCUUGACUUGGCUCCGUGGAGGUCUGUAGACCGGAGCGCCAGACUUGAAUCACCUAUGGUUGUAAUUUAACUCACCGGGAAGUUAACAUAUCGUCUUUCCCAGACUCAGGCCAGAACCGGUUGCUAAGACAUGGGAUAAGAGAUGGGUCGAUGCUCGAGUGCUUGUGCUAGUCAAGAACUGGAUGGUUGGCUAUAUGCCAUGCUUGAUAACUUGCC
rnacentral:lncRNA from 1 species